AUGGCGGCUCUCGCUCAGCCGACACAACAAGGAUUCCUCAAGGGCUGUACGGCUGUAAGGGGGGAUAUGGGGGGUAAAUGUGGGGCAGGGCUCUAUGGGGCAAUGGGGAUCUAUGGGGCAGGGAUAUGUGGGGCAAUGGGGAUCUAUGGGGCAGGGAUAUGUGGGGCAAUGGGGAUCUAUGGGGCAGGGAUAUGUGGGGCAGGGAUCUAUGGGGCAAUGGGGCUCUAUGGGGCAGGGAUAUGUGGGGCAGGGAUAUGUGGGGCAGGGAUCUAUGGGGUAAUGGGGAUCUAUGGGGCAGGGAUAUGUGGGGCAAUGGGGCUCUAUGGGGCAAUGGGGCUCUAUGGGGCAGGAAUCUAUGGGGCAGGGCUCUAUGGGGCAAUGGGGCUCUAUGGGGCAGGGCUCUAUGGGGCAAUGGGGCUCUAUGGGGCAGGAAUCUAUGGGGCAAUGGGGAUCUAUGGGGCAGGGAUAUGUGGGGCAGGGAUCUAUGGGGCAAUGGGGCUCUAUGGGGCAAUGGGGCUCUAUGGGGCAAGGCUCUAUGGGGCAGGGCUCUAUGGGGAAGAGAUCUAUGGGGCAAUGGGGCUCUAUGGGGCAAUGGGGCUCUAUGGGGCAGGGAUAUGUGGGGUAGGGCUCUAUGGGGAAGAGAUCUAUGGGGCAGGGCUCUAUGGGGCAGGGAUCUAUGGGGAAGAGGUCUAUGGGGCAAUGGGGCUCUAUGGGGCAGGGAUUUAUGGGGCAGGGAUCUAUGGGGCAGAUAUGGGGCAAUGGGGCUCUAUGGGGCAGUGGGGCUGUAUGGGGCAAUGGGGCUCUAUGGGGCAGGGCUCUAUGGGGCAGUGGGGCAGGAUCUAUGGGGCAGACACUGACCUUUGCUGCUGGCUAUGGGGCUGGCUGCCCCCCACGUGUUCGGGGCCGUCCCCCAUCUCGUCCCUCAGUUCCCUCAAUAGGGCCGAGCUCAGAGCGCGGCGACGGGCGGCUUGUAGGGCACGGCUAUGGGGCGAGGAGGCAUCGGGGGCUGCGGGUAUGGGGGGAUAUGGGGUUAUAUGGGGUAAUAUGGGGGGGAUGAAUGGGGCGAUAUGGUGAGUUUAUAUGGGUUUAUAAGUGGGAUAUGGGGGGAGUGGUGCAGAAUAUGGGUUAGAGAGAGAAUAAUGGGGGAUAUGGGGAGAAUGGGUUAAUAUGGGGUUAUAUGGGUAUAUGGGUGGGAUAGGGCAAUUUGAUAUGGGUUAUAGUUGGGUAUAAUGGGUAUAGUGGGUUAUAUUGGGGUCUUAUGGGGGGAUAUAUGGGGGGAUAUGGGGGAUGCUGUUAUAGUGGGGUGUCUCUAGGGUCUAUGGGGUGUCUAUGGGUGUCAUAUGGGGGUGGCUUUGGGGGGGAUAUUUGUGGGUAUGGGGUGGCAAUGGGCCUAUGGGCAUAUUGGGUGUCUAUGGGGGCUGAAAUUGGGGGGCUUAUGGGGCCAUAUGGGUGGGAUAGUGGGGUUACUAUGGGGUGUUAUAUGGGGGCGAUAUGGGGCAGAUAUGGGGUUAUAAUGGGGGGAUAUGGCAGAUUGGGGUUAUUAUGGGGGGGAUUGGGUGAUAUGGGGGGAUAUGGGCGAUAUGGGGUUAUAUUGGUGGGGAUAUGGGGAGAUAUGGGGUUAUAUAGGGGGAUUACUGGGUGCAAGAUAUGGGUUUAUAUGGGGUUAUAUGGGGGGAUAUGGGCAGAUAUGGGUUAUAUGGGGU
rnacentral:lncRNA from 1 species